UACGGAGGGGGCUAGCGUUGUUCGGAAUUACUGGGCGUAAAGGGCGCGUAGGCGGUCAUGAUAGUCAGGCGUGAAAGCCCCGGGCUCAACCUGGGAACUGCGUUUGAUACUGCAUGGCUAGAGAUUGGAAGAGGAGAGUGGAAUUCCCAGUGUAGAGGUGAAAUUCGUAGAUAUUGGGAAGAACACCAGUGGCGAAGGCGGCUCUCUGGUCCACAUCUGACGCUGAGGCGCGAAAGCGUGGGGAGCAAACAGG
rnacentral:misc_RNA from 1 species